rnacentral:rRNA from 1 species
AGAACGAACGCUGGCGGCAGGCUUAACACAUGCAAGUCGAGCGCCCCGCAAGGGGAGCGGCAGACGGGUGAGUAACGCGUGGGAACAUACCCUCCGGUUCGGAAUAACUCAGGGAAACUUGAGCUAAUACCGGAUACGGUCGAGAGGCGAAAGAUUUAUCGCCGGAGGAUUGGCCCGCGUCCGAUUAGCUAGUUGGUGUGGUAAUGGCGCACCAAGGCGACGAUCGGUAGCUGGUCUGAGAGGAUGAUCAGCCACAUUGGGACUGAGACACGGCCCAAACUCCUACGGGAGGCAGCAGUGGGGAAUAUUGGACAAUGGGCGAAAGCCUGAUCCAGCCAUGCCGCGUGAGUGAUGAAGGCCUUAGGGUUGUAAAGCUCUUUCACCCACGACGAUAAUGACGGUAGUGGGAGAAGAAGCCCCGGCUAACUUCGUGCCAGCAGCCGC